rnacentral:rRNA from 1 species
GACGAACGCUGGCGGCGUGCCUAACACAUGCAAGUCGAGCGAAGUGCUUACAGCGGAAUCCUUCGGGGUGAAGCAGUAAGUAUCUUAGCGGCGGACGGGUGAGUAACGCGUGAGGAACCUGCCUUCCACAAGGGGAUAGCCUCGGGAAACUGGGAUUAAUACCCUAUGACACUUAAGUAUCGCAUGAUACUUAGGUUAAAGCGUAAAGCGGUGGAAGAUGGCCUCGCGUCCCAUUAGCUAGUUGGUGAGGUAACGGCUCACCAAGGCGACGAUGGGUAGCCGGCCUGAGAGGGUGGACGGCCACACUGGAACUGAGACACGGUCCAGACACCUACGGGUGGCUG